rnacentral:rRNA from 1 species
UACGUAGGGGGCAAGCGUUGUCCGGAAUUAUUGGGCGUAAAGAGCGUGUAGGCGGUCCGGUAAGUCAGCUGUGAAAGUCAAGGGCUCAACCCUUGAAUGCCGGUUGAUACUGUCGGGCUAGAGUCCGGAAGAGGCGAGUGGAAUUCCCGGUGUAGCGGUGAAAUGCGCAGAUAUCGGGAGGAACACCAAUGGCGAAGGCAGGUCUCUGGGCAUUAACUGACGCUGAGGAGCGAAAGCAUGGGGAGCGAACAGG